GCUAGAGGACCAAGAAGGCUGAGUCUGAUGAAGCAAGACUUUGCUGAUACACUCCUCCUACAGCAAAGGGUGGAGAGAGCAGCUCUUCCUGAAGAAAGCUCACUGUACCGCCUGACAUUU